GAUGAACGCUGGCGGCGUGCCUGACACAUGCAAGUCGGACGGUUCUUGUACCUUCAAGCUUGCUUGUUGGUGCAAGGAUAGUGGCGGACGGGUGAGUAACGCGUGAACAUCUACCCAUUGGAGGGGGACAACCCGUCGAAAGGCGGGCUAAUACCGCGUAAGCCGCGAGGUGAGAGGCUGCCUAUUGGUGGCCGCCGAUGGAUGGGUUCGCGUCCUAUCAGCUGGUUGGUGGGGUAACGGCCUACCAAGGCGAAGACGGGUAGCCGGUCUGAGAGGGCGACCGGCCACACUGGGACUGAGACACGGCCCAGACUCCUACGGGAGGCAGCAGUGGGGAAUAUUGCACAAUGGGCGAAAGCCUGAUGCAGCGACGCCGCGUGAGGGAGUGACGGCCUUCGGGUUGUAAACCUCUUUUGUACGGGAAGAUAAUGACGGUACUGUACGAAUAAGUCCCGGCUAACUACGUG
rnacentral:rRNA from 1 species